UCACCCUAAUCAGAAGACUUGAAUGAAAACAGGAAAAAAAAAAAAGAACUAAAAUGAUUCUGGUAGGAUAGAGGGGCUCUGAACCUGCUCUAAUCAGAUCACUUGCUCUAAAAUUAAGUUCUAGGUCCCUGCCCUUUCCAGGCAUCCUUUUUUAUAAUUAAUAUACCAUCCAACUCUGACAUCUGAUUUCCCCCAAAACUCCCAAUCCUUGGUAUUCCAGAUAAACUCUUAGGAUUAUAGAUUUUUAAACCUGUUAUGCAACUGAAUUCUCUUUUAUGCACAUAAAUGAGGGGAAAGGGUUAAAGAAGGGGGAAAGGUAAUGGAAGGGAAAAUAGAAGUAGUAGGGGAAAGGUGUAAGAAAAAGGGACAGGUUGUAAAAGGGGAGGACAAUUUGAGGGAGAUUGUAGUCAGAAGCAAAAAAUCAGGGAGGAAAGGGGGAAAGGAAAGAGAAAAUCAUAACUUGUGGUAAAUAAGAUGGCAGGGAAUACAGAAUUAGUUAUUUUAGCUAUGAAUGUUAAUUUGAUGAACUCUCCCAUAAAAUGAAAGCAGAUAGAAGACUGGAUUAAAAGACAGAAUCUCACAAUAGGUCAUUUACAAGAAUCACAUUUAAAGCAGAGUUAUAUAUACAUUAUAAAGAUAAAAAGCUAGACCAGAAUGUAUGAUGCUUCAGGUGAAGUAAACAAGAGCAGAGGUAGAGAGAUCCUGAUCUCAGAUCAAUCAAAAAAAAAAAUCUAAUUAAAAGAGAUAAGUGUAAUAACAGGGCUAUCACCCAUAAACACCCAGAAUCAGCCGGAAUCAGAAUAAGCAAAGUUCCUUAAUCUUUAUUCUUGGUCUUAGAUGUAGGAUUGAACAGGAUGGAAGCAGAUUUUGUGGGACUGCCUUCCUCCACGUCUACCGCCAAGAGUGUGUCCCUUGCUCAUUUUAUUCCACCCCUUAGUCCCUCCUACAAUCCUCUAUACACCAAUCACUGAGCCAGUAUAGAUAGUGGAAAGGACCAUUUUCCAAGCAUAUAUUCAUAGAGUACUGUCCAAUCAGUAGUUAGCCUCAAGUGCUCAGCAGUCCUGAUCUCAGUGGAUCAACCCAAUAGUUUCAGCCCUCUACAUUUCCCACUUUCUUUUGUUUUAGAACACAGGUAGUCAAGGCAUCCUUGACUUCUCAGGAUAGUGAGAGCCCCCAAAAGGAGUUGAUCAUGCCCUCCCUGACUUCUCAAAAAAGAGGUGAAAACACCAAAAAGGAGGUGAUCACACCCUCCCUGACAUCUCAGGAAAGGAGAUGAAAAGCACCAAAGGAAGUGGGGAUUGCUAGCGGGUUUCUGGGCUGAAGAGUCUUAUUAGAAACAGGUACACAGAAACCCAUCAGCAUGGGAGGUAUUACAUGAGCACAUAGCUAUAACUCACAGGCUAUUAGUGAUGACUCUCCCCACACUCAGUACAGGCUCAAUGUGGUACAACAAACAUGAAUUGUAUAUGUGAGUAGUGAUAUAACAAACAAUAUAAAUCAAUAUGGUAUUAUAAGGGAUUUCCAGAAGUCCUAGAAGGAGGGUAUGUAAACAACAGUCACACAUAUGCCUUCUUCAGCAGUCAAGAAAUAGUCCAAAACCAAUCUAUUGUCCAUUUCUUCAUUUGUCAGGGAAUCCAAUAAUCCCCACAAAUUUUUGAAGUUCUGCAAGUCUUUUUAUGUGUUAGGGAAUCCGAUGAUCCCAGCAGAUUUUGAAGUCCUGCAACAGUCUUAUCAUGUCUCAGAAAAUCCAAUGAUUCCUGAGAGUUUUCAAGUCCUACAACAGUCUUAUCAUAUCUCAGAGAAUCCAAUGAUUCCUGAGGGUUUUGAAGUCCUACAACAAUCUUAUCAUGUCUCAGAGAAUCCAAUGAUUCUUUAGGGUUUUGAUGUCCAACAAUUUUUGAUGUCCAUGAGUCAAAUGCCACAGCUUCCAUGCUCUUUCAGUGGUGGGCACAGUCAGCAACAGAACCAUUCAAUGUUUCUUGGGUCUUCUCCUUUGUUUCAAGGGUCUGCUCUGUCUCCCUCCCAUGGACAAGGUGAAUAUGGCCUGUUGGCACCCAUCUGAUUCCUUCUCCACCUGUGGAAAUACAAGCAAACUCUCUCCCUCAAGCAGUUAACCUAUUUGGUCCCUUCCAUUCACCACUGUCUGGGUCUCUCCAUAUCACCUGGCAAUUAUCUAAAGAUAGUGGAGCUGCUCACACAGGACACUGACCUGGUGGGUUGUAACACCUGUCUGCCAGAGCCAGUGCAUCUUUGUCAAAAAUCAAGAAAUUAAUAGUACAAAGAGCUAGAUUUAGAAGUUCUCUAGGGUUACCUGUGACUCCCUCUUUCUUUUGUUUUUGGAGGAGUGUCUCAAUGUCCCUGUUUCUCCUCUCUUUAUCUGCUCUUGAAGAUUAAAGGGUAUGCCACACUGGUGUAUCAGUUUUCCAUUGAAUAGGAACAGGUGAAAGUGUUGGCAGGCCUUCAACAUCAGCCCUGCCUAAAAAACCAAGGUACUCAUUUUUAAACCUAAUUGUUUUAAAAUAUCUCUUCCCCACAUAUUGAUUGGGAUUUUUCAACUAUAAAAGGAGUAAAAACUCCUGGUUCAUCUUCAAAUAUCUAUCUCAAAGGGGUAGCACUAACUUCAGCUGCUAUUGAUUCCUUUACUCCUGACAUGUAGGUGUCUGCCUUAAUCUUUGACCAGUGACUGGGCCGGUUGGCACCUCUAAUGACUAUACGAUCUGCAUCAGUGUCUACCAAUCCUUCUAAUUGUAUAGCAUUUAUAUAGAUAGUGAGCAUAGGUUGGGCACUGUCACAGCUGCUGUCCAGUAUAUGCCUGGAUUUUUUUGCUUGGAGUCAGAAUUUGGGUGACUAUCACCAGAUUGCUUAUUAGGAGUCUGUAUUAGUAAACCUGAUGCUACUACUUCUCCUGGUUGAUAAGUCACACAUUGUCUACCUAUAUUAGUGACUGGGAUAUUGUCUACACAUUCCCCAGUUUCCCACAUCAGUGUGUGGAUGGACACUGUUUUGUACACCAGAGGAGGUGAAAUGGUGAAGCCUACUGUACCUAGAGGCAAGGCAUCCAUAGGCUGGAGAGCAACAGAUUUCACCUUUCCAGCGGGUAUCUCAAUUAUCCCAGCUGCAUACAACUCUAUUCUCCCCAAUUGUAAUCCCUUUCUCCCAUCAGAUUGCUUUCUGGCUGGUUGAUUGUGUAAUUCCCUUCUCCCAUCAUAUGGCUUCCUGGCUGAUUACUCAUCUGGGUACUGGGCUUCUAGGCAUUCUCUGGGUCUACCAUUGGCUGCAAUCAUGCCCUAAGUGUUUUUUGCCUGAGUCUGUGGGGCUGGGCCCUUCAUCCCAUUUCCCUGAAUCAGUCUACAUUCUGAGGCCCAUUGGAAGCCUCUGUUGCAUUUUGGACAUGGGGUUUAGGGUCUUAUUCUCUCAUUCUGUUUUCUCAUUCUGUCUCUAUACCAACAUUGAGCUUCCAGAUGCCCCACUUUAAAACAUUGAAAUCAUUGACGAGUCUCUCUGGAAGUCCCUUGUCAAAAGGGAACCUGUCUCCCCAUAUUUCGAUUUUGGGAGGUCUGCAUCAUAGCCUGGCUAUAAAAGGCGUUUGUGUCCACUGUGGCACAGCAUCUUAUGAUCUCUAAAGCAGCAUCCUUGCGUAGUCCUAGUGUAAUUCCUCUACAGACUUCAUUAGCAUUUUCUUUAGCAAGUUGCCUUAUCAUAAUGUCUGUUACUGCAUUUUCACCAUUAGUAGGUACAAUAGCUGUCUGCAAACAUCCCACAAAGUCAGCAAAGGCGUCAUUUGGCCCUUGUGUUAUUUUUGUGAAGGUUUCACCCUUGUCAUUUUUAUUGGGAAGCAAAGUUCAUGCUUUGAUAGCAGCAGCAGCAAUUUGCCAAUAAGCUGCUAAGGGGUAAUUAAUCUGUACUGAAAUUUCUGCAUAAGAACCUACACCUGUUAGUUGGUUGCCAGUGAUUGGAGAAUUAAGUCCACUAUGCCUAUUUUGUUGUGCUUGUGUCCUACAGAGUUCACUAUAUUCAGAAAGACACAAGUUUUGUCCAGGUUCUAAGCAUGUCCUUGGUAUAGAUUUCCAGUCCCUAGGGGUUAAGACUUCAUAAGUCAAAUUAUGUAAUAACAUCUUAACAUAAGCUGAUGUAGCCCCUAAAGAGUACAAGCUUUUUUCAGGUCUUUGAGGAUUUCUAUAUCAAAAGGAACAUAUCUUCUACUUUCUUGACCUGAAGAGUCAAACUCUUGAAUAAAUAGAUACAUUCCCAGUUGCAAAUCACUUAAAUUCUAGCCUUCUUCCCUGGCUUUAACUACUGUCUUUUGCAAUCUAGUCAUA
ensembl:lncRNA